AGAAUCAACGCUGGCGGCGUGCCUAACACAUGCAAGUCGCACGAGAAAGGGACUUCGGUCCCGAGUAAAGUGGCGCACGGGUGAGUAACACGUGAAUCAUCUACCUUCGAGUGGGGAAUAACUGAGAGAAAUCUUAGCUAAUACCGCAUAAUACCUACGGGUCAAAGCAGCAAUGCGCUUGAAGAGGAGUUCGCGGCAGAUUAGUUAGUUGGCGGGGUAAUGGCCCACCAAGACGAUGAUCUGUA
rnacentral:rRNA from 1 species